rnacentral:rRNA from 1 species
CCUACGGGGGGCUGCAGUGGGGAAUAUUGGACAAUGGGGGGAACCCUGAUCCAGCCAUGCCGCGUGUGUGAAGAAGGCCCUCGGGUUGUAAAGCACUUUCAGUGAGGAAGAACGCCUGGUGGUUAAUACCCAUCAGGAAAGACAUCACUCACAGAAGAAGCACCGGCUAACUCCGUGCCAGCAGCCGCGGUAAUACGGAGGGUGCGAGCGUUAAUCGGAAUUACUGGGCGUAAAGCGCGCGUAGGUGGCUUGAUAAGCCGGUUGUGAAAGCCCCGGGCUCAACCUGGGAACGGCAUCCGGAACUGUCAAGCUAGAGUGCAGCAGAGGAAGGUAGAAUUCCCGGUGUAGCGGUGAAAUGCGUAGAGAUCGGGAGGAAUACCAGUGGCGAAGGCGGCCUUCUGGACUGACACUGACACUGAGGUGCGAAAGCGUGGGUAGCAAACAGGAUUAGAUACCCGGGUAGUC